UACAGAGGUCUCAAGCGUUGUUCGGAUUCAUUGGGCGUAAAGGGUGCGUAGGCGGUCGUGCAAGUCGGAUGUGAAAUCUCAGGGCUCAACCCUGAAACUGCAUUCGAUACUGCGCGGCUAGAGUGCUGGAGGGGAGACUGGAAUUUACGGUGUAGCAGUGAAAUGCGUAGAUAUCGUAAGGAAGACCGGUGGCGAAGGCGAGUCUCUGGACAGCAACUGACGCUGAGGCACGAAGGCCAGGGGAGCAAACGGG
rnacentral:rRNA from 1 species